rnacentral:rRNA from 1 species
AACGAACGCUGGCGGCAUGCCUAACACAUGCAAGUCGAACGAGACCUUCGGGUCUAGUGGCGCACGGGUGCGUCACGCGUGGGAACCUGCCCUUAGGUUCGGCAUAACUCCCCGAAAGGGGUGCUAAUACCGGAUAAUGUCUUCGGACCAAAGAUUUAUCGCCUUUGGAUGGGCCCGCGUUGGAUUAGCUAGUUGGUAGGGUAAAAGCCUACCAAGGCGACGAUCCAUAGCUGGUCUGAGAGGAUGAUCAGCCACACUGGGACUGAGACACGGCCCAGACUCCUACGGGAGGCAGCAGUGGGGAAUAUUGGACAAUGGGCGAAAGCCUGAUCCAGCAAGGCCGCGUGAGUGAUGAAGGCCGUAGGGUUGUAAAGCGCUUUUACCCGGGAUGAUAAUGACAGUACCGGGAGAAUAAGCUCCGGCUAACUCCGUG